rnacentral:piRNA from 1 species
UCGUUCUUUCGUAUAUUUGAC